rnacentral:lncRNA from 1 species
GUAGAUGAGGCUGGGUCUAGUCAGGCUAUAGAUGGUGGUGUAGAUGAGGCUGGGUCUAGUCAGGUUAUAGAUGGUGGUGUAGAUGAGGCUGGGUCUAGUCAGGUUAUAGAUGGUGUAGAUGAGGCUGGGUCUAGUCAGGCUAUAGAUGGUGGUGUAGAUGAGGCUGGGUCUAGUCAGGUUAUAGAUGGUGUAGAUGAGGCUGGGUCUAGUCAGGUUAUAGAUGGUGGUGUAGAUGAGGCUGGGUCUAGUCAGGCUAUAGAUGGUGGUGUAGAUGAGGCUGGGUCUAGUCAGGUUAUAGAUGGUGG